GCCGGGGGGGGGGCUUAACACAUGCAGUCGAGCGCCCCCUCGGGGGAGCGGCAGACGGGUGAGUAAUGCAUGGGAAUCUACCUAGCUCUACGGAAUAACUCAGGGAAACUUGAACUAAUACCGUAUACGUCCUUCGGGAGAAAGAUUUAUCGGAGUUAGAUGAGCCCAUGUCUGAUUAGCUAGUUGGUGAGGUAAAGGCUCACCAAGGCGACGAUCAGUAGCUGGUCUGAGAGGAUGAUCAGCCACACUGGGACUGAGACACGGCCCAGACUCCUACGGGAGGCAGCAGUGGGGAAUAUUGGACAAUGGGCGCAAGCCUGAUCCAGCCAUGCCGCGUGAGUGAUGAAGGCCCUAGGGUUGUAAAGCUCUUUCACCGGUGAAGAUAAUGACGGUAACCGGAGAAGAAGCCCCGGCUAACUUCGUGCCAGCAGCCGCGGUAAU
rnacentral:rRNA from 1 species